rnacentral:rRNA from 1 species
CCUACGGGUGGCAGCAGUGGGGAAUAUUGCACAAUGGGGGAAACCCUGAUGCAGCGACGCAGCGUGAGUGAAGACGUAUUUCGGUAUGUAAAGCUCUAUCAGCAGGGAAGAAAAUGACGGUACCUGAUUAAGAAGCUCCGGCGAACUACGAGCCAGCAGCCGCGGGAAUACGUAGGGGGCAAGCGUUAUCCGGAUUUACUGGGUGUAAAGGGAGCGUAGACGGCAGCACAAGUCUGGAGUGAAAUGCCGGGGCUUAACCCCGGAAUAGCAUUGGAAACUGGGCAGUUAGAGUGCAGGAGAGGUUAGUGGAAUUCCUGGUGUAGCGGUGAAAUGCGGAGAUAUUAGGAGGAACACCAGUGGCGAAGGCGGCUUACUGGACUGUAACUGACGUUGAGGCUCGAAAGCGUGGGUAGCAAACAGGAUUAGAUACCCGAGUAGUC